GAUGAACGCUGGCGGCGUGCUUAACACAUGCAAGUCGAACGAUGAAGCCCAGCUUGCUGGGUGGUUUAGUGGCGAACGGGUGAGUAACACAUGAGUAGCCUGCCCUUAACUCUGGGAUAAGCCUGGGAAACUGGGUCUAAUACCGGACAGGAGCGUCCACCACACGGUGGGUGUUGGAAAGAUUGAUCGGUUUUGGAUGGACUCGCGGCUUAUCAGCUUGGUGGUGAGGUAAUGGUUCACCACGGCGACGACGGGUCGCCGGCCUGAGAGGGUGACCAGCCACACUGGGCCUGAGACACGGCCCAGACUCCUACGGGAGGCAGCAGUGGGAAAUAUUGCACAAUGGGCGCAAGCCUGAUGUAGCGACGCCCCGUGCGGGAAGCCGGCCUUCGGGUUGUAAACAUCGUUCAGUAGGGCAGAAGCGAAAGUGACGGUACCUGAAGAAGAAGCCACGGCUAACUACGUG
rnacentral:rRNA from 1 species